rnacentral:rRNA from 1 species
AGUGAACGCUGGCGGCGUGCUUAACACAUGCAAGUCGAACGGUAACAGGAACUAGCUUGCUAGUUUGCUGACGAGUGGCGCACGGGUGAGUAAUAUAUAGUUAAUGUACCCCAAAGACCGGGAUAGCCACUGGAAACGGUGAUUAAUACUGGAUGCACCUUCAUAUCAUAAGGUAUGAGGGGAAAUGUUUUUUCGCUUUGGGAUCAGACUAUAUCCUAUCAGUUAGUUGGUGAGGUAACGGCUUACCAAGGCGAUGACGGGUAGCGGUUCUGAGAGGAUGAUCCGCCACACUGGUACUGAGACACGGACCAGACUCCUACGGGAGGCAGCAGUGAGGAAUAUUGCACAAUGGGGGGAACCCUGAUGCAGCAACGCCGCGUGGAGGAUGACGCAUUUCGGUGUGUAAACUCCUUUUAUAUGUCAAGAAAAUGACGGUAGCAUAUGAAUAAGCACCGGCUAACUCCGUGCCAGCAGCCGCGGU